UAAGGAGGCGCUGUCCUGGCGUCGGAUGGGGACGGGGAACGCGGCGAGGGCGCUGCGACCUCUGCCCACCUGGCCCGGCCGCAGUCUCGGAGUUCCUGUUCCUCACAGGAGCUAAUUAUUUAUGACAGCUGCAUGGUUCCCCUCCCCCAGUUACUCAGUGCUUGGCACUCGGCACCCCUUACUCAGCACUCAGUACCGCACUCGGCCUCAGGGGACCUGGGCAGAGGGAAGCAGGGAGUCUCCCGCGGAAACUCUUGCUCUGCCAAAGGCCUGGACAGCAAAUGAGGAAGACUUAUUGCAGAAAUUCAGAGCCUAGUGACCUGGACCAGGGUGGAGGCAGCAGAGGAGAGAAACAGAUGAUCAAGACUCUGCUAGCAGGAGAAAAAGAGAGAAAAGAGAGAUGAAAAAGUCUUGUGUGACCAGAAGCUUAUCAACCUUGUGUGCUGUUGGCUUACUUUAACAUUUACAGCAGAUGAUAGAAUUGUGUUCAGAUGACACAAUAAGGUAUCAAAUGACUUCACGAAAGCAAGACGGCACUGAACCCCAAGUUUGUGCCUUCAGUCUCUCGCCUCGGCACCUAGGUAAUCCUUUGCCCACAGGACCACACCACCCUCCCCCAGUGAGAGGAACCAGAGUGACGGGAAAGGGAAGCCCCACACAACCAGCACUCGAGGCCCGGCCCACUGGGAGCACUGGGUGGCCUGGCCUGGGAAAGCCCCUUGUGCCCCUUGGGUGGCACCAGCAGGUACCCGUGGGAGCUCCAGCAGCACCAGACAAACCAAGCAGACCCAAGAUAGCACCAUGAAGGCUCUGAACAUCAAAUUGUCACUGGAAGCAUGGCCUGCAGAAGCGGGCCACAAUCCUCACACUAAACCUAAGCAGAGCGACUGGCUGCAAAAAGGAAAGACUUAAAAAAUAGGAUCCAGAGACCUUCCUCUUCCUCAUGAGUUUUCCAAAUCACACUUGAUUGAAACAAAAACGUUAGCACCAUCUGAGACUCAGGACAGUGAUAUUUAUGAGCGGGGAGGGUAAAGGAAGCUCCAUGCUAUAAGUUCCGCACCUCGCUUGAAGUAGGAAAAGGCCACGGCACGCAGGACUCACUGAGUGGCUACCAAAAGAAACCAACGCUGAGCUAUAGCAUGGCAAGCUAAUACUACAUUUUGGAAAAGCACGCAUAUUGAAAUUUGCGUCAUUUGUGCUAUUAUUUGUGCUAUUAUAAAGACCUGACGCCUGGUGGAACCGUGCUUACAAUGUGUGGGUACUUAAACGCGUGUUCUGAAAAACUCCUCUGCUGCUUCUUCCUCUGAUUUCACAUUCGGUAAACCUGCAAGUGCACACAUUUCAUCCCCUUGCAAGACUGUUGUCAGUGCUCAGUAAGUCUACAUUUUACAUAGGAUGAGGUGAUUACAAAGAUGGCACCAUGGAUAAACGACACUACCUGUGUUAGCAGUUGUGACUUUUCCUUCU
rnacentral:lncRNA from 1 species